GCCGCUUUAGCUCAGAUGGUAGAGCACGUCAUUCGUAAUGACGGGGCCGCGUGUUCGAGUCACGCAAGCGGCA
rnacentral:tRNA from 1 species